rnacentral:hammerhead_ribozyme from 15 species
AAUUGGUCGGGAGCUGAUGUCGCUCUCUUGACGAGGCCAUGGUAGGCCGAAAUUGGUU